CCUACGGGUGGCAGCAGUCGAGAAUCUUUCACAAUGGGGGAAACCCUGAUGGUGCGACGCAGCGUGGGGGAAUGAAGGUCUUCGGAUUGUAAACCCCUGUCAUGUGGGAGCAAAUUAAAAAGAUAGUACCACAAGAGGAAGAGACGGCUAACUCUGUGCCAGCAGCCGCGGUAAUACAGAGGUCUCAAGCGUUGUUCGGAAUCAUUGGGCGUAAGGCGUGCGUAGGCUGUUUCGUAAGUCGUGUGUGAAAGGCGCGGGCUCAACCCGCGGAUGGCACAUGAUACUGGGAGACUAGAGUAAUGGAGGGGGAACCGGAAUUCGCGGUGUAGCAGUGAAAUGCGUAGAUAUCGAGAGGAACACUCGUGGCGAAGGCGGGUUCCUGGACAGUAACUGACGCUGAGGCACGAAGGCCAGGGGAGCGAAAGGGAUUAGAUACCCGAGUAGUC
rnacentral:rRNA from 1 species